UACAGAGGGGCAAGCGUUAUUCGGAAUUAUUGGGCGUAAAGAGCUCGUAGGCGGCUUGUCGCGUCGACUGUGAAAUCCCGCGGCUCAACCGCGGGUCUGCAGUCGAUACGGGCAGGCUAGAGUUCGGUAGGGGAGACGUGGAAUUCCGUGGUGUAGCGGUGAAAUGCGCAGAUAUCAGGAGGAACACCGAUGGCGAAGGCAGGUCUCUGGGCCGGAUACUGACGCUGAGGAGCGAAAGCGUGGGGAGCGAACAGG
rnacentral:rRNA from 1 species